NNNNUGACCCUGCCAGUAAUGAUAUGCUUGUGUAAAAGAUUAAGCCAUGCAUGUAUGAGUACAAGCCUAAAUAAGGUGAAACCGCGAAUGGCUCAUUAAAUCAGUCAUAAUUUGCUGGCCGAGACUGUGAUACAUGGAUAACUGUGGUAAUUCUAGAGCUAAUACAUGCAACCGAGACCUAGCCCGGCCUUCGGGGUCGGCUGGCCGCUUUUAUUGGCUGAAUACCGAUGGCCGCCGGGUUCGCGCUCGGCGGUCGUUAUCUGUUGAAUCACAAUAACAUUGCGUGGAUCGUACGGUCUUGUACCGACGACGCGCUCUCUAAAUGUCUGCCCUAUCAGCUGUCGACGGUUAGCUAGUGGCUGACCGUGGCUGUGACGGGUAACGGGGAAUCUGGGUUCGAUUCCGGAGAGGCAGCCUGAGAGACGGCUACCACAUCUAAGGAAGGCAGNAGGCGCGUAACUUACCCACUCCCAGCUCAGGGAGGUAGUGACAAUAAAUACCUUACAGAGAUGCUGUUAAUCGGUAUCUCUCAAACGGAAUGAGUACAAUGUGAAUCCUUUAACGAGGAUCAACUGGAGGNCAAGCNUGGUGCCANCANCCGCGGNAAUUCCAGCUCCAGUAGCAUAUAUUAAAGCUGUUGCGGUUAAAAAGCUCGUAGUUGGAUAUCAGUGCGUGUCCACGUCCGGUAUGCUCGGUUGACUGCGUUCGCGCGUGGUCCGCCGGGCUUUCAAGUAUCGGCUGGCCGCAUUUAAAUGUGCCGGAUCCGUUGACGGGCCGUUUUUCCGAAGCGGCCUGUCGGCGACCGGCGAUGUUACCUUGAACAAAGCUGAGUGCUCAAGGCAGGCUAUCAACGCCUGAAAAUAUAUUCAUGGAAUUGGAGAAUAUGUCCCUGGCUCGAUUUGGUCGGUGUUGCGAGUCGAAGGGAAAUGAUUAAUAGGGACUGACGGAGGCAUUCGUAUUGCGGCGCGAGGGGUGAAAUCCUGUGACCGUCGCAAGACGAACUACUGCGAAAGCAUUUGCCGAGAAUGUUUUCAUUAGUCAAGAACGAAAGUUAGAGGUUCGAAGGCGAUCAGAUACCGCCCUAGUUCUAACCNUAAACGAUGUCAACCAGCAAUCCGCAAUGGUCACUUGUUCGACCGUGCGGNCAGCUCCUCCCGGGGAAACCAGAGUUUUCGGACUCCGGGGGGAGUAUAGGUGCAAACCAGAAACUUAAAGGAAUUGACGGAAAGGCACCACCAGGAGUGGAGCUUGCGGCUUAAUUUGACUCAACACGGGACAACUCACCAGGCCCAGACACUGUAAGGAUUGACAGACUGAGAGCUCUCUCGUGAUUCAGUGGGUGGUGGUGCAUGGCCGUUCUUAGUUGGUGGAGUGAUUUGUCUGGUUUAUUCCGAUAACGAACGAGACUCUGGCCUAUUAAACUUGAUGCCGUUCGUACUUCGGUACGUCGGUACGCUUCUUAGAGGGAUCGUCGGCGCCUUAGCCGAACGAAAGAGAGCAAUAACAGGUCUGUGAUGCCCUUAGAUGUUCUGGGCUGCCCGCGUGUUACACUGAGGCAGACAGUGCGCGCGCAAUCAAACGUCCCUCUCCGCAAGGAGCGGGCAAACGUUUGAAACUGUUCCGUGAUUGGAAUUGGGGAUUGCAAUUAUCCCCCAUGAACGAGGAAUUCCUAGUAAGCGCAAGUCACUAGCUUGCGUUGAUUAAGUCCCUGCCUUUUGUACACACCGCCCGUCGCUACUACCGAUGGAUGAUUUGGUGAGGUCGCCUAGACUGGCCGCUGGCUUCGGCCGUGCGGCCGGAAAGGCGCCCAAACUUGGUCGUCUAGAGGAAGUAAAAGUCGUAACAAGGUUUUCGUAGGUGAACCUGCGGAAGGAUCAUUA
rnacentral:rRNA from 1 species